rnacentral:rRNA from 1 species
CCUACGGGAGGCAGCAGUGGGGAAUCUUGCGCAAUGGGCGAAAGCCUGACGCAGCAACGCCGCGUGCGGGAAGAAGGCUUUCGGGCUGUAAACCGCUUUCAGCAGGAACGAAAAUGACGGUACCUGCAGAAGAAGGAGCGGCCAACUAUGUGCCAGCAGCCGCGGUGAUACAUAGGCUUCAAGCGUUGUCCGGAUUUAUUGGGCGUAAAGAGUUCGUAGGCGGUCAAGUAAGUCGGGUGUGAAAAUUCUGGGCUCAACCCAGAGACGCCACCCGAUACUGCUUAACUUGAGUUCGAUAGGGGAGUGGGGAAUUCCUAGUGUAGCGGUGAAAUGCGCAGAUAUUAGGAGGAACACCGGUGGCGAAGGCGCCACUCUGGAUCGAUACUGACGCUGAGGAACGAAAGCAUGGGUAGCAAACAGGAUUAGAUACCCUGGUAGUCCGUGCCGUAAACGGUGGGCACUAGGUGUGGGUUUCUAUUAACGAAAUCCGCGCCGUCGCUAACGCAUAGUGCCGCCGUCGGGAGGUACGGUCGCGAGACUAAACUACAANAGAUAGACGGCGNGAGACGUGCCGACGGACGACGACGAGGGAGUAGG